rnacentral:rRNA from 1 species
UACGUAGGCAGCAAGCGUUGUUCGGAAUUACUGGGCGUAAAGAGUGUGUAGGCGGUGGUCUAAGUUUGUCGUGAAAUCUCCCGGCUUAACUGGGAGGGUGCGGCGAAAACUGGAAUGCUAGAGGAUGGGAGAGGUAAGCGGAAUUCCUGGUGUAGCGGUGAAAUGCGUAGAUAUCAGGAGGAACACCUGUGGUGUAGACAGCUUACUGGACCAUUUCUGACGCUGAGACACGAAAGCGUGGGUAGCAAACAGG